UAUAAGUCAAUUAUUUCAUGCACAGAGCAUUAAAAUUCCUUAAGAUAGUCUCCUGUUCGUCACUGGGCUUUGCUUUGAUGGUUUCCUUGGAUAAAAGGCAAGCUCACAUCCUAGCCAUUUUCAGAGAUGCCAUUUCUCUGGCUCCAUAAGCUCUUACACAAAGCCUGGCAGACAGCAGAUUAACAUGUAUUCUGCUACACCAGCUCCUUUCUAUUCAUUUUAUAAAAUCGUCUCAAUAGGUUUGUAUCUCCAUGUUCUAUAAGUUGAUUAAUUCUAACCAUAAUUCUUUCUGAUCAAUCACUUACCAAAAUAUCAAAAUAAGCAUCAAUAGUCCAUUUACAAUAAGGAAAAGUG
rnacentral:lncRNA from 1 species